rnacentral:rRNA from 1 species
UACGUAGGGUGCAAGCGUUAAUCGGAAUUACUGGGCGUAAAGCGUGCGCAGGCGGUUGUGCAAGACAGAUGUGAAAUCCCCGGGCUUAACCUGGGAACUGCAUUUGUGACUGGCGGACUCGAGUAUGGCAGAGGGGGGGUAGAAUUCCACGUGUAGCAGUGAAAUGCGUAGAGAUGUGGAGGAAUACCGAUGGCGAAGGCAGCCCCCUGGGCCAAUACUGACGCUCAUGCA